rnacentral:rRNA from 1 species
AUUGAACGCUGGCGGCGUGCUUAACACAUGCAAGUCGAUCGGUAACAGGUGUAGCAAUACAUGCUGACGAGAGGCGGACGGGUGAGGAACGCUUGGGAAUCUGCCUAUCAGCGGGGGACAACCCGGGGAAACCCGGGCUAAUACCGCAUACGCUCUACGGAGGAAAGCCGGGGACCGCAAGGCCUGGCACUGAUAGAUGAGCCCAAGUCGGAUUAGCUAGUUGGCGGGGUAACGGCCCACCAAGGCGACGAUCCGUAGCUGGUCUGAGAGGACGAUCAGCCACACCGGAACUGAGACACGGUCCGGACUCCUACGGGAGGCAGCAGUGGGGAAUAUUGGACAAUGGGCGAAAGCCUGAUCCAGCGACGCCGCGUGGGUGAAGAAGGCCUGCGGGUUGUAAAGCCCUUUCGGUAGGGACGAAAGCUCUUGCUCUAACAAAGCAGGAGGUUGACUUAACCUUCAUAAGAAGCACCGGCUAACUCUGUGCCAGCCGCCGCCGUAA